GCCUGUGUGGCUCAGUGGUUAGAGCAUUGGCCUGCGCACCCAGGGGUUGUGGGUUCGAUUCCCAGUCAAGGGCA